UCGAUGUCGUAUUUAAAGAGCUCACACUGUUCGUCAAUCCAAACAAAAUGCUUUUUUUUCUAAAAGUACUGGUUAUAGCUGUUGCGGUUGCCGCCGUUCAAGCGCAGAAAUUAAGCAAUUAUUACAAAAGACCCGAGCUUUAUCCGCGCAGAAAUAUGGAAAAUACUGUUAUUCUCUAUGGACCUAAUAGCUACGGGCAGAAUAGCUAUGGAUUAAACAGCCGGGGGUUAAAUAGUGACUGGCAAGCUGGCUCCAGAAAGGACGGUUAUGGACGGAAUAGUUACGGACAGCAAGUUUACGGGCGGCGUAUCUACGAACAGCCUGGCGAAUGAUGGUGAGAAUAAUAAAUCAGGAAAAAUGAUUUGAAAAAAAAAAAUUGAUUUUUGAACUGAGCAGUAACUACUCAACAAUAUAUGAUCAAAAAAUGUCUACCUGACAAAUUUUAUUUGUAGAUUUUAAACAAUCACGAUCAAUAAAUAGAUAGAAAAUACGAA